AUUGAACGCUGGCGGCAUGCCUUACACAUGCAAGUCGAACGGUAACAGGUCUUCGGAUGCUGACGAGUGGCGAACGGGUGAGUAAUGCAUCGGAACGUGCCCAGUAGUGGGGGAUAGCCCGGCGAAAGCCGGAUUAAUACCGCAUACGACCUGAGGGGGAAAGGGGGGGAUCGCAAGACCUCUCGCUAUUGGAGCGGCCGAUGUCAGAUUAGCGAGUUGGUGGGGUAAAGGCCUACAAAGGCAACGAUCUGUAGUUGGUCUGAGAGGACGACCAGCCACACUGGGAAUGAGACACGGCCCAGACUCCUACAGGAGGCAGCAGUGGGGAAUUUUGGACAAUGGGCGCAAGCCUGAUCCAGCAAUGCCGCGUGCAGGAAGAAGGCCUUCGGGUUGUAAACUGCUUUUGUCAGGGAAGAAAUCUUCUGGGUUAAUACCUCGGGAGGAUGACGGUACCUGAAGAAUAAGCACCGGCUAACUACGUGCCAGCCGCCGCCGCCGUAA
rnacentral:rRNA from 1 species